rnacentral:rRNA from 1 species
UCCUGGCUCAGGAUGAACGCUAGCUACAGGCUUAACACAUGCAAGUCGAGGGGCAGCAUGGUCUUAGCUUGCUAAGGCCGAUGGCGACCGGCGCACGGGUGAGUAACACGUAUCCAACCUGCCGUCUACUCUUGGACAGCCUUCUGAAAGGAAGAUUAAUACAAGAUGGCAUCAUGAGUCCGCAUGUUCACAUGAUUAAAGGUAUUCCGGUAGACGAUGGGGAUGCGUUCCAUUAGAUAGUAGGCGGGGUAACGGCCCACCUAGUCAACGAUGGAUAGGGGUUCUGAGAGGAAGGUCCCCCACAUUGGAACUGAGACACGGUCCAAACUCCUACGGGAGGCAGCAGUGAGGAAUAUUGGUCAAUGGGCGAGAGCCUGAACCAGCCAAGUAGCGUGAAGGAUGACUGCCCUAUGGGUUGUAAACUUCUUUUAUAAAGGAAUAAAGUCGGGUAUGGAUACCCGUUUGCAUGUACUUUAUGAAUAAGGAUCGGCUAACUCCGUGCCAGCAGCCGCGGUAAUACGGAGGAUCCGAGCGUUAUCCGGAUUUAUUGGGUUUAAAGGGAGCGUAGAUGGAUGUUUAAGUCAGUUGUGAAAGUUUGCGGCUCAACCGUAAAAUUGCAGUUGAUACUGGAUAUCUUGAGUGCAGUUGAGGCAGGCGGAAUUCGUGGUGUAGCGGUGAAAUGCUUAGAUAUCACGAAGAACUCCGAUUGCGAAGGCAGCUUGCUGGACUGUAACUGACGCUGAUGCUCGAAAGUGUGGGUAUCAAACAGGAUUAGAUACCCUGGUAGUCCACACAGUAAACGAUGAAUACUCGCUGUUUGCGAUAUACAGUAAGCGGCCAAGCGAAAGCGUUAAGUAUUCCACCUGGGGAGUACGCCGGCAACGGUGAAACUCAAAGGAAUUGACGGGGGCCCGCACAAGCGGAGGAACAUGUGGUUUAAUUCGAUGAUACGCGAGGAACCUUACCCGGGCUUGAAUUGCAACUGAAUGAUGUGGAGACAUGUCAGCCGCAAGGCAGUUGUGAAGGUGCUGCAUGGUUGUCGUCAGCUCGUGCCGUGAGGUGUCGGCUUAAGUGCCAUAACGAGCGCAACCCUUAUCGAUAGUUACCAUCAGGUUAUGCUGGGGACUCUGUCGAGACUGCCGUCGUAAGAUGUGAGGAAGGUGGGGAUGACGUCAAAUCAGCACGGCCCUUACGUCCGGGGCUACACACGUGUUACAAUGGGGGGUACAGAAGGCAGCUACCUGGCGACAGGAUGCUAAUCCCAAAAACCUCUCUCAGUUCGGAUUGGAGUCUGCAACCCGACUCCAUGAAGCUGGAUUCGCUAGUAAUCGCGCAUCAGCCAUGGCGCGGUGAAUACGUUCCCGGGCCUUGUACACACCGCCCGUCAAGCCAUGGAAGCUGGGGGUGCCUGAAGUUCGUGACCGCAAGGAGCGACCUAGGGCAAAACCGGUGACUGGGGCUAAGUCGUAACAAGGUAGCCGUACCGGAAGGUGCGGCUG